CUUCCCCACGUGAUAUCAUCACGAGACAACACGUUUUGGCAUUGCAAUAGCCGGAGGAUUCCACGUGCUCAAACCUGCACUGCUACUAUUUCAACUCGUUCAAUCAUUUUUCACUGUUGAGACAGAUCAUGGAGCAGAACAGAGGUCCUUUAUUUUCAUGGCCAUGGGAGAGGCUUAACAACUACAAGGUGAAACGUAUAUAACUGAUAGCUUUGUUUGAGUUUUCAUUCAUUUUCUGCUUAUGUAAAUCUAUUUCAUUGUGUACUUGUGUGCAGUACUUUCUGUAUGCACCAUUACUGUUCAAGGCAGCAUAAGAAAUAUGGGAAAUCAACGGAGAAGGCUACUGGUUUGUGCACUUUCUUGUUAUAUCCUUUUUAAGGUGUUCUCUAUACCAAGCUUGGCAUUCUUAUUCUCGAGCUAAGUUCUUUUCAAGAAGAUAUCAAAUCCACUGCAACACUGUAGAAUUCGAUCAGAUUGACAGAGAAAUGCUCAUUCAUUUCAUGAAUUGAAGAUUUUGAUUUCUAUUUUUUCAUAAAAUUGUUGGGUUUUCAUUAAAAUGAAAUGCUCUUGGAGGUUAGCUAUUUAAUGCAUAGCUAAUUGAGAAAUUGUUGUUGACGUUAGCAUUACCAUUACUGCUAAAUCUGAAGGCAUCGCAGGGAACUGUAAUGGAGGUUUUGUCGCUGUGGUAAGGGUGUUCGCAGUGCAGGGAAGCAAAAUCCAAAGUGCCCGGUGUUUUGGAGGCCGAGUCGUGGAGGUUUUGAAGCAAGGCCAAGCCCUAAGAGUUAUUUAUAUUUUCCAAUACUUUUUGCCAUUUUGUCAUGUUGGUAUGGACUGUAGAAGACUAAUGGUCAAUUAUCUAAUGUUUAUAGGGUCUGUAAUAAAUUUGGGGAGCGGACUAGGGUUUGCUAUCCAUUGUAAACAUUUGGGAAUAUUGAAUUCUAUUUAGUAUGUAUAUCUGUUUUGCGUGGAUUUGGAUCACUUGUCGGGACUGAGAAUCCUAAAGGACAUGAAAGUUUUAUCAGAGUGGUGUGGGUUUUUAAAAAUCUGGUUUUUGUAAUGUUUCGAAUUGUUUCCAGGGAUUGUAAUAAAAUUGGGGAGUGGACUAGGGUUUUUGAGAAGACUGAAAAAAAAAUUGAAGUUUUGAAUUCUGCCUACUUUGUAUGUGUGUUUUGUGUAUACGCAUUUUUUGACCACCUGUGGGGACUGGGAAUGUUAAAAGGCACGAAACUUUUGCACAAUGUAGUAUCUGGUGUGUUGGGAAAACCAAUGACGGUUUUGUACACAUCUGAACUGGCUUGGUAGGAAUUCCAAUUGUUUUGCACACACCCGGUUUGGCCAUGUGAAAAACACAAUGGCUUUUAACUAUGUAUUACCGCGGAAUGGCGACAUUGAUAACACGAAAGAUUAGAACAACAAGAAAUAAGUGUUUUUGGAUAUACCUAGAUGCCACAUCAAUCUUAGAAAUAAUUUGAUUUUCUCUAAUCAUGCAAUGUAUUCAUUAACUGAGUAUGUGUUGGUAAGUCUAGCCGAUGUGGUUUGUCAACAACCUUAUCUUGCUUGUCUUCAAACAACUUUAGUUGACAAUCCUUAUUUUCGCGUAAAGUUUCUAAAUCAUACCCAACUCUACUAAUUGCUAUGUCUCAGCAACUUCUUUCUUGAAGGUUUAUUUUUCAUUUUAUUUUAAGAACCAUUUUGCCAUUUAAUUUUCUGUGUUUUUUCAAAAAUGGUACUUGUAAAAAAAGCCUAUUUCUUGUCUUGUCAUUACGACUUCUCCAAACCCCCUUUUUUUUUUCCUAAAUGGCACCAGCUUGCAUUGAAAUCCAUAGUGUAUUCCACAUGCCACAACUGUUCCAUUUCACUACUCUCAUAUUAUCACUAUUUGAAGUAGGAGAUAUCUCUACUUCCAUUUCACAAAGUGGAUUAUCUCGGUGGGCUAAUCUAUUUGCACCCAUGGUAGAAAACUAGGUUAUUUGCUAUGUUUCAGCAAUUUCUUUCUUAAAGGUUUUUUUUUUAAGAACCAUUUUGCCAGUUAAUUUCCUGUGUUUUUUCGAAAAUGGUACUUGUAUAAAAUGCCUAUUCCUCAUUUUACUGUUACGACUUCUCCAAACCCUUUUUUUUCCUAAAUGGUACCAGCCUGUGUAUGUUGUUCAACCGAGAGGUGAUAAGCAACAUGCGGUGGAAAAAAGGAAGAAGAAAAAGGACAAGGUAUAUUCUUGCAUUUCAUUUUCAACAUUCAUAAUGUAUGAUGGAUCUUUUUAGUUGUUAUUAUUGUUUACGAGUUUUGGUGGAAUGAGUUAUUUCGUACAACUAAUGUCCACGUCACCUUUGAAAGCCCACAUUGUGAACUCUUAUGUAAUUUUGUUAAUUAUGAGUCCACUGUAGCUUGAAUGUUUAGGUAUCAUUUGAAAUGCAUGUGUGCAUUUAGUUUUGUGUAUGUAUGGGCAAUAUUUUUACGUAAUCACUAUCCUAUGUCUUUCACCAACUUGUUGUAUGCCUUAAGUUUUACGUUUGUAUGGGCAAUGUUUUUACAUAUGCACUGUUGACCUUUGUCUUUGCCCAACUUUUUAUUAUUGUCUUUGAUGACUAUGGAUUUGUGUCUUUGAUCCAUUGAUGAUUAAUUGCUUUGAGUCUUGCAUACGCAAGGCUAUCCUCUUCAAUAUUGUUUUGCAUGUGUAGAACCAUUGUUUUGUGUCAUCAAUGAUAACAAAAAAAUCUUGAUCAUCAUCAAUCACAAUAUUCCCAACAUUAGGCUAUACACCAUACCUAACAACAUUCCUAACUUUGUAACAGAUCACCUCAGAAGCAGUGCAUUGUGCUCUGGAUGAGAAUAGUGAACAUGAUGAAGGUGACACUUAUACUAUCGGAGACCAUGUUGAGCUUUGAUUGAAGGGACUGCUGGUUGGAAAAGGCAAAGUGGUUAUUAUGGGAAGUGGUGCAGUUUUCCACAAUAUUCUACUCCCACCGGGUACUGUGAAAGUUCAUUUUAUUGAGGUGGUUGACGAAGAUGUCAAGCUGCCUUAUUGCCACCCAUUCUCAGAUGUCUUGAUAUAUUCAAUGGAUUCAUUUGAGAUAUGGAAUAUCUCGGACUUGGCCCGACCCGCCUCUCCGACACAACUUAACGAUGUCCAAAGUUCCUUUUGAGAGGAUUCACAACUCACCAUUGAUUAUGUGAUGGAUGAACCCCUACCGAUCACCACCACAAAGAAAUUGCCUGUCAAGCUGCCUAUGGAUGAACACCUCCUGAUUACUGACACCACAUAAUUGCACGUAAAGCAGCAUGUGGAUAAUGACCUCCACUAUGUGAAGACUAAUAAAGUGCCCAUAAAGCAACCUCCUAUUGCAAGGCUUCGAUCCCUUGGGAUCACGCCUCCUGAGUUACACAAUAACUCUAGGAAAAGAAGUAGAUUCUACAAAAGCAUAUCCUCCAUUGCACAAACUAGAUAGCAGAGGAGAUGGUGAAUAUAUCAUUUUAUUCAUUUACUAUGUAUCUUUGUCUUAAUGCUUGAGUUGACAUUUGUGAACAC